UACGGGGGGAGCAAGCGUUGUUCGGAUUUACUGGGCGUAAAGGGCGCGUAGGCGGCGCAACAAGUCACUUGUGAAAUCUCCGGGCUUAACCCGGAGCGGGCAAGUGAUACUGUCGUGCUAGAGUGCGGAAGGGGCUACUGGAAUUCUCGGUGUAGCGGUGAAAUGCGUAGAUAUCGGGAGGAACACCUGCGGCGAAGGCGGGUAGCUGGGCCGACACUGACGCUGAGGCGCGAAAGCCAGGGGAGCGAACGGG
rnacentral:rRNA from 1 species